AGCAGCCGCGGUAAUUCCAGCUCCAAUAGCGUAUAUUAAAGUUGUUGCAGUUAAAAAGCUCGUAGUUGAAUUUCGGGGUUAGUAGAUUGGUCAUGCCUCUGGUAUGUACUGGUCUCACUGAUUCCUCCUUCCUGAUGAUCCGUAAUGCCAUUAAUUUGGUGUUGCGGGGAAUUUGGACUGUUACUUUGAAAAAAUUAGAGUGUUUAAAGCAAGCUAACGCUUGAAUACAUUAGCAUGGAAUAAUGAAAUAGGACGUUCGAUCCUAUUUUGUUGGUUUCUAGGAUUGACGUAAUGAUUAAUAGGGAUAGUUGGGGGCAUUAGUAUUCAAUUGUCAGAGGUGAAAUUCUUGGAUUUAUUGAAGACUAACUACUGCGAAAGCAUUUGCCAAGGAUGUUUUCAUUAAUCGAGAACGAAAGUUAGGGGAUCGAAGACGAUCAGAUACCGUCGUAGUCUUAACCAUAAACUAUGCCGACUAGGGAUCGGAUGAUGUUAAUUUUUUAAUGACUCA
rnacentral:rRNA from 1 species